rnacentral:lncRNA from 1 species
CCCGUCCGUAUCCUCUCCCUCCACCCGCUCUCCUCGCCGACGAUCUUUCUCCGUUCAGUUGAUGAAUCUUGCUUUGAUCUUUAGGGUCUGGGAGGGUAGGGUUUUGGUGUGGCAGGCAUCGUGUUCUUGAGGGUUUUUUGUAGGUUGGUUUGGAUUCUGAGAAUUUUCUGGAUUGAUGGGUGAUCGGUUUUCAUCCUGAUUUGCAUUGCGGGUGUGGGUUUUGUGGUCAUCUGCCACAAGAAUCUUCUGCUUUCAUGGGUGGUUGGUUUUCAUCUUGAUGUGCAUUGCUAAUGUGGGUUUUGCGGGCAUUUGCCAUAAGAAUCUUCUGCUUUGGUGGGUGGUUGGUUUUAAAUCUUGAUGCCCGAAAAAAAUAUGUUUCUGAGGGUAAUUUCGCAUGAUUUUGUGGGGUAUGAUCGAACCAAUCUUCUUCGAAUGCGGAGUUCUUGAUGCAUUUGGUUUGGUGCUCUGUCGAUUUGUCGAUGAUCCGUCAAUUCCAGCAUUGGGUUUAUUGCUGUUUCUAAUCCAUUAUGCAAUCUAUAUGUGUAACGCAAGAAUAGAUAGAGGUGCUUUUGUGGGCACCAACUUUGACAUAUGCAAUUUAACUGGUAUUUCUCCUAAGUUGUUUGAUAUAUUAGUUAUUAUGCGGACCUGCCAGUUGGUUGUGCUGUUUUAGGCUUUUAGCAUGGCAAUGGUCCUAAGUUGUUUGAUAUAUUAGUUAUUAUGCGGACCUGCCAGUUGGUUGUGCUGUUUUAGGCUUUUAGCAUGGCAAUGGGGCAUACCAAUGACAAUGUUAGUAAUCUAGUGUGUUCGCUAAUCUGUUUUUGUUCUUAUCUGAUGUGUAGUUUGCAAAUUAUAAUCUAGGUAUUCGUUUGCCCGCUUUAUUUUCUAGUUUGCCUCUUGUAAUUGUUUUGUGGGUGCAUGUGUAUUAUAAGUGCUUACCUGUAUUAGGCAAGAUAAAACUUGGAGGGGAGUCCUUAUUCUAUUUUUCAUUUUUUAUAUUGCACAUUUGGAUAAUGAAUCUUUAUUUCUUUUGGUCGGAUCAACUCAGUACUCAUGUGGUUAUGUGGACUAGACACUCAAAUUAUUUCACUGGGAAAUGUAGGAUCGUUUAGGGCAACUUAGGGGGUACUUUUGGAUCUGCAUGCCAUUUUUCACCUGACCAUAUCUUUUUAUUUUCUGUGAUGGCCC